UACGGGGGGGGCAAGCGUUGUUCGGAUUUACUGGGCGUAAAGGGCGGGUAGGCGGCCACCGCAAGUCAGUUGUGAAAUCUCCGGGCUUAACCCGGAAAGGUCAACUGAUACUGCGGGGCUAGAGUGCAGAAGGGGCAACUGGAAUUCUCGGUGUAGCGGUGAAAUGCGUAGAUAUCGAGAGGAACACCUGCGGCGAAGGCGGGUUGCUGGGCUGACACUGACGCUGAACUGCGAAAGCUAGGGGAGCGAACGGG
rnacentral:rRNA from 1 species